rnacentral:misc_RNA from 1 species
UUGAUUCUUGUGUAUGAUUCAGACGACACACAGAUUUAUGCAUAAAAGCGGCGCCCAAAGGAGGACGCCGAAGCACAUUUUUUGCUUCCACAGGUUUGAGGGGUAGAAGGUCAAAGACCAUUCAAUAAUGAUCCCUCCGCAGGUUCACCUACGGAGA